GUCUACUGCCAUGCCACCCUGAACAAGCCCGAUCCCGUCUGAUCUCGGAAGCUAAGCAGAGUCAGGCCUGGUUAGUACUUGGAUGGGAGACCACCUAGGAAGACCAAGUGCUGUAGGUG
rnacentral:rRNA from 1 species